GAGGCUCGUAAACUGGAGGCUUUGGAAAUGGCUUGUCGAUCUUGGGAGGCUCAUAAACUGGAGGCUUUGGAUAUGGCUUGUCAAUCUUGGGAGGCUUUGGGAAUGGCUUCUCAAUCUUGGGAGGUUUUGGGAAUGGCUUCUCAAUCUUUGGAGGCUUGGGAAAUGGCUUGCCAACCUUCGGAGGCUCGUAAACUGGAGGCUUUGGGAAUGGCUUGUCAAUCUUGGGAGGCUUUGGGAAUGGCUUAUCAAUCUUGGGAGGCUUUGGGAAAGGCUUGUCAAUCUUGGGAUGUUCGUAAAAUGGUGGCUUAGAGUAAUCAGCAAGAGAUGGAGUGGCGAGAAGUACCACCACCCCAAGGAGCAACACUGGCAAGUAUGUUAGAGACAUCUUCUU
rnacentral:lncRNA from 1 species